rnacentral:rRNA from 1 species
UACGUAGGGGGCAAGCGUUGUCCGGAUUUAUUGGGCGUAAAGAGCGUGUAGGCGGCCAUACAGGUCAGCUGUGAAAACUCGAGGCUCAACCUCGAGACGCCGAUGGAAACCAUCCAGCUAGAGUCCGGAAGAGGAGAGUGGAAUUCCUGGUGUAGCGGUGAAAUGCGCAGAUAUCAGGAAGAACACCCGUGGCUAAGGCGGCUCUCUAGUACGGUACUGACGCUGAGACGCGAAAGCGUGGGGAGCGAACAGG